CAGUAAAUCCCCGGCAGUGACAUUUCUGUAUUGUAAUAUCUAAAGCUGCUGAUAUAUUCCGUGCUGGAAAUUGCUGGAACUUCUCAACGGUGUCCAGAGCGAUCGGCGGCGGCUGGCGAUUACGCUUUUUAUUGGUGCGCGACCAAGGGGGAAGAUAUUGCAAUAGAAAACAGCAAUAAUAGCAUGGAAUUUGUGAGCGUUUGAAGAAAAGAGUGUCGAGAUCAUGAAAACAAUUACGGUCCUGUUCACGGUCCAAGACAACACAGUGAGGAGGGGACUGGAAGGGAAAGUUACAAUAUGAAACCACAAGAAAAAAGAAAAAUGCAAUGUCAUCCAGCUCACCCCACCACCAUUUACGGCCCGAGUCCUAGGAAUCCAAGACGAUGAUUGGGAAAUGCCUCUUCACAGUAAAAUCCAGCACCUCCAUAAGGUGAAAGUUCAAUAGCUUUGCGUUUCGGACAAACAUCAUCAUGGCAUCAUGUAGGACAACGUGUUUUUCUGAAAUGUGUUGCUGUUGACCUUGCACCUUCUAGAUUUUUUAAGUGACCAAUAAAGAUUGCUCUUUUUAUGAAGAUGUUGUGCUGGAUGCUACCUUGAAAGUUACAAUAUGCCUUUUUCAACAUUCGGCCGUUAUGAACGGGUCAGUCAACCUGGCUCUGACCUUUCCGCUGUUAUAUGUAGGGGCACAUUCACGUGAUUGCAUUUUGGGCCAUUUUUUUUAUA